GGAUAACUUACCCUUAGGACUGGGAUAACUCUGGGAAACUGGGGAUAAUACUGGAUAUUAGGCUAUGCCUGGAAUGGUUUGCCUUUGAAAUGUUUUUUUUCGCCUAAGGAUAGGUCUGCGGCUGAUUAGGUCGUUGGUGGGGUAAUGGCCCACCAAGCCGAUGAUCGGUACGGGUUGUGAGAGCAAGGGCCCGGAGAUGGAACCUGAGACAAGGUUCCAGACCCUACGGGGUGCAGCAGGCGCGAAACCUCCGCAAUGUACGAAAGUGCGACGGGGGGAUCCCAAGUGUUAUGCUUUUUUGUAUGACUUUUCAUUAGUGUAAAAAGCUUUUAGAAUAAGAGCUGGGCAAGACCGGUGCCAGCCGCCGCGGUAACACCGGCAGCUCGAGUGGUAGCUGUUUUUAUUGGGCCUAAAGCGUUCGUAGCCGGUUUGAUAAGUCUUUGGUGAAAGCUUGUAGCUUAACUAUAAGAAUUGCUGGAGAUACUAUUAGACUUGAAGUCGGGAGAGGUUAGAGGUACUACCGGGGUAGGGGUGAAAUCCUAUAAUCC
rnacentral:rRNA from 1 species